AAGAAAAAGCAGAAGCACCCGCUUCUCGCCUAGGUGGUAUCGAUCGCCGGGCUGACGAGAUGAAUGAUAAUCGACCAUUAGGAUAAGGUCGUUGUUAUGAAGCGGGGUACUUUUGUGCCUCGCUUUUUUGCUUGAUC
rnacentral:sRNA from 1 species